rnacentral:rRNA from 3 species
UGGGGAAUAUUGCACAAUGGAGGGAACUCUGAUGCAGCGACGCCGCGUGAACGAAGAAGGCUUUAGAGUCGUAAAGUUCUUUUAUAUGGGAAGAUAAUGACGGUACCAUAAGAAAAAGCCCCGGCUAACUACGUGCCAGCAGCCGCGGUAAUACGUAGGGGGCUAGCGUUGUCCGGAAUCACUGGGCGUAAAGGGUUCGCAGGCGGAAAUGCAAGUCAGGUGUAAAAGGCAGUAGCUUAACUACUGUAAGCAUUUGAAACUGCAUAUCUUGAGAAGAGUAGAGGUAAGUGGAAUUUUUAGUGUAGCGGUGAAAUGCGUAGAUAUUAAAAAGAAUACCGGUGGCGAAGGCGACUUACUGGGCUCAUUCUGACGCUGAGGAACGAAAGCGUGGGUAGCAAACAGG